rnacentral:rRNA from 1 species
CCUACGGGAGGCAGCAGUGGGGAAUAUUGCACAAUGGGGGAAACCCUGAUGCAGCGACGCCGCGUGAGUGAAGAAGUAAUUCGUUAUGUAAAGCUCUAUCAGCAGUGAAGAAAAUGACGGUACCUGAGUAAGAAGCCCUGGCUAACUACGUGCCAGCAGCCGCGGUAAUACGUAGGGGGCAAGCGUUAUUCGGAUUUACUGGGCGUAAAGGGAGCGUAGACGGCAGUGCAAGUCUGGAGUGAAAGGCGGGGGCUCAACCCCCGAACUGCCCUGGAGACUAUACGGCUGGAGUGCAGGAGAGGUUAGUGGAAUACCUAGUGUAGCGGGGAAAUGCGUAGAUAUUGGGGAGAACACCAGUGGCGAAGGCGGCUUACUGGACUGUAACUGACGUUGAGGCUCGAAAGCGUGGGGAGCAAACAGGAUUAGAUACCCUUGUAGUC